UAAAUCUGACACAAGCGUCAAAGUCAACAAUGAAAAUAAACUAGCAAAGCGAUCGUUUGACCAAUAAUGACAUUGGUUUAUGUUACAAAGAAGUUAGUGAUACAUGUGUUUUUUGAUUUAGAAGUUAUGGCAAAAGCGGUUAUUGAUUCUAAAGAGGAUAUAAAGAUUUAAGCGAGUUCUCUUAUUUUUUUUUUUUACAUUUCCUUGGUAUAUUGAGAAACGAGUCUUUGGUUAAACAUGAAUAGAAUAUGACUAUAGUACAUGUUUAGUUAUAGUGAGUAAUAGUGGAUAUUAAUACUAACGAAUUGCAGUGACAAUACUU